rnacentral:lncRNA from 1 species
AUAUCACCUCUAUAUAUUUCUUUCUCUUGGUUAUUUGAUAGAAAAGAGACGGCUUGCAAAAUAAUUAAUGACAAAUAUUCACCAGACUAUCAAUUUCCUCAGGCUGACGGUGCUCGAUGUACUACUUACAUUCAUACUUAGUUCCACGAAACAUCUUUUUUAAUUGUUUGAAAAUAAUCGGUGGAGGUAAUUUUAUUGAUUCAUAAGACAAUAAAAUUGCUAGUUUUUUAAACAGUUGGAUAUCGAUAAAAACUAAAGUUUUAAAGAUAUUUAUAAUUUGUUUCCAUUAAUUGAACACAAGGGAAAAAAGAAACUGUUCUUGAUAAAAGGUAAUUCCUUAUUUAUUCCCACUAAAAGGUGAAAAUCCAGUGUUGAAUGGACAUGUUAAAAAAACGAAAAAACGAAAAACAACAUGGUUACUCCAAAAUAUUCUUUAAAUUAACAAUUAAAAGAGAAAGAAUAAUGCUCAUGACGUUUCAUUAGAUCAGCCGGAGUUACAUGUAUGCAUAUUUAUAGAUAUACAAAGUAUUCCACGCUUGCAUAUUUAACUGUCGUAAGUAUUUCAAUAUCCAUAUAUGUCAAUCCUGUCUGUUUUUUAACUGGCCCGUUAAUUUGUAAUUGGUUAAAAAGAACGAAUUUUAUUUUCCUCAAUAGUUGACAUUAUUAUUUAAUUCCUGAGUCAUGAAACAUCCUUUUCGAAAUAUAUUCAGAACCUGAUUGAACGUUUGUAUUUACUCAUAAAAGACAUGUUUUUACCAUGCCCAUUUCACACUGGAUUUUCACUUUUGAGUAUAUUCUAACUCAUUCAUGGUAAACAGUAUUAACUUCAGCUCUAUUUCAAAAAAGUCAUGGACAACUCGAAAAAAGAUUUGAGACAUCUCAUCAUCGGAAAUGAGAAUAAAGAAUCUCAGGAUCAAAAGGAAGAACUGUUACCCCUUUUCAACGUUUCUCUCAUCAGUCUGACACACAUCUUCCUUGAUGCAGGCUAUAUUGCUAUGUGGGUUGGUUUGCUCAAUGGUAUUUCUUCCUCUUUACCAUUUGGAUUUAUCGGAAUAAUUACUCUAAAUUUUGGACUUCCCAUCUCUCUAGUGAUUGAAAUCACUUUUCGAGUCAUUGGAAUCCUCAUCAAUCUAGGAUUCAUCCUUGGCUCUAUCAUGGAGGCACCAUUUUUUAUAUGUUUAUGGAUAGUUUAUGCAUAUGCACUUGUUCUAAAUUUUUUUUCAAUGUGGGCGCAUGUUUUUUGGAUUAUUUUCACAUACCCUAUACUCAGAGAAGAUGAAAAAUCCAGAUGUAAUUGGACUGGUGUUAUUGUUGUAGGAUUUUUACUCUUGUACAUUUGGAUUAUUCCAUUGGUAACAAAACAUUAUUGUGCUAUUAAAAGAAGAAAAAAUAUCAAUCCAACUUAAAUUAAAUUUGACUCAUUCAACAAGAUUUUAGAAGAUAUAAUCUAGAUCCUUGGAAAUGUUGUUAUCGAAAACUAAAUUUGUAUUUUAUUUUUGAUGAGCAUAUUAAAAAAAUGAAAAUGAAA